GGGGUUAUAGCUUAGUGGUAGAGCACAUGCUUAACAUGCAGGAGGUCCUGGGUUCAAUCCCUGGUACCUCCA
rnacentral:tRNA from 1 species